GCGGGGCUCCGGGCCGGCGACGGAGUGGCGGCGCGCCGUGGCCUGGGCGCUGCGUCCUGCCUGAGUCGAAUCCAGCGACGUGGCCCCGAGACUCACGUUGCGGAGCCGCGAGCGCGCGGUCCUCGGCUGCGCUCCUCGGCGGCAGGCCCGGGAGUGGCCCACGCUCGGGCUGUUUCCGGUGCGGCUGACCCUGACCGUCACCCCGGAGUCUGCAGGGAGGCAGGCCCGGGCCGCACGCCAGGACCGCGGGGCUCUGGACCGGCGCUGUACCAGCGUGCGGGCGGCCCUGCCGCGCGCUGACUCCCGCCCGCCUCCCUGCAGAGCCCUAGCUCCGUCCCUGCACAUCGGCCGAGAGGAGCCGCAGCGCGCGGUCGGCGGUGCUCGGGGCAGCCUCCCGUUGUCUUUCAGGGCCACCCGGGGAGCUCUCCUGGAUUUUACUGCAGAAAGUACGGUAAAGGGCCAUGUGGAGAGAGAAAACAGAAACGAAGGAGGUGCUGAGUCACUUGCUCUGAGGGAAGCUGGCUGCCAGGUUAUGAGGGCACUUAAGUAGCCUAAUACAGAGGCCAACACAGUGAGGGACCAGCCAACAGCCAUGUGAGUGACCCAUCUUGGAAGGACAUCACCCAGACUCAGCCAAACCUUUCAGAGACUAAGCCCCUGGCAACAUUUUGACUGCAACCUCUCCAGAGACCCUGGCCAGAACCAUUUAAAGAAGCUGUUCCCAAAUUCUUAACUCACAGAAACUUUGAGACAAUAAAUGUUUGUGGUUUUAAAGAG